rnacentral:rRNA from 1 species
UACGGGGGGGGCAAGCGUUUGUUCGGAAUUACUGGGCGUAAAGGGCUCGUAGGCGGCCAACUAAGUCGGAUGUGAAAUCCCCAGGCUUAACCUGGGAACUGCAUCCGAUACUGGAUGGCUUGAAUCCGGGAGAGGGAUGCGGAAUUCCAGGUGUAGCGGUGAAAUGCGUAGAUAUCUGGAGAACACCGGUGGCGAAGGCGGCAUCCUGGACCGGCAUUGACGCUGAGGAGCGAAAGCCAGGGGAGCAAACGGGAUUAAUACUACCGUAGU